CGCCUCUUGAAUAAAUAUAAGAGGUCCAGCCUGCCCAGUGACUCUGUUCAACGGCCGCGGUAUCCUAACCGUGCGAAGGUAGCGUAAUCACUUGUUCUUUAAAUGAGGACUAGUAUGAAUGGCACCACGAAGGUUAUACUGUCUCCUCUCCCUAAUCAGUGAAACUAAUCUCCCCGUGAAGAAGCGGGAAUAAACAUAUAAGACGAGAAGACCCUAUGGAGCUUUAAACUAUGUAACACUUGCACCACCACAAUACAAAUUUCAGAAAAAUCUCUCCAACGCAUGCAAGCUUAUUACCAGUUUUAGGUUGGGGUGACCGCGGAGCAAAAAACAACCUCCACAUUGAAAGGAACUUACUCCUUAGCCAAGAGCCACACCUCCACGCACCAUUAUAAUGACAUUAAUUGACCCAAUAUUUUGAUCAACGAACCAAGUUACCCUAGGGAUAACAGCGCAAUCCAUUUCAAGAGCUCCUAUCGACAAAUGGGUUUACGACCUCGAUGUUGGAUCAGGGUAUCCCGGUGGUGCAGCCGCUACCAAAGGUUCGUUUGUUCAACGAUUAAAACCCU
rnacentral:rRNA from 1 species